rnacentral:lncRNA from 1 species
UUGUUUAUUAAUCCCUUCUCCCUCUCAUUCACUCUAAAUUUCUUGAUAAUGAUUGUAAAAUAUAAUAAACAGCAGCAAAUGAAUGGUAUUAUAAAUAUCAAGCUUCACUAGUGUACAAAAAUUAUGGAUGCAAUAAUGCUGAAGAAUAAUACUGGCUCUGGAAAUUUAGAAUGGAAAUGACAUUAUCUUUUAUAACCUCUAUUCAUGAGAUAUACUGACAAUGUAAGGUCACAGUAGAUCUCUAUUUAUGAGUUAGAAGAUUCUUAAAGUAGAAGUUAUGGAGAUAGAAUAACACUGAAAAUAUGGUAAUUAAAUUACAGUUGUGU